GCGAGGGAUAUUGCAGUUGCCAGGUUUUUUCAGUGUUCUGAUAGAUUGUUUAGAGUUGUAUGUACAGUGGAUUAAAGAGAAAUAAAACUUGCAAUAAAACAGUGCAAUUUUUAAGAGUAACUUUUCUCAUAGAUUUGAACAAUUGAACAUAACUUUAGCCAAUAUCAAUCCAUUCACCUAAUACUUCUCUUACAGAUAUGAACAUAGCUUGGCCCUUUUUUAGCUGUCCUUCUGGGAUGACAUAAAAGGCUUGUUCAAUUGUCUAAUUUUUUAAUGCAAAAAAAUCUUCACUUCCUUCUUUUGAUCCACAGGUUUUUCUUAUAAAAUAGAAAAUGUACUUAUAUUUUGCAAGUAUUGUCAGAAUGUUUGUUACAAGCCAUCUUGGUUUUCUCCUACCGACAACUGAAAUUUUAGUUUUUCAAAUUGAUGUUUCCCUUAUUUUAGUAAUUAGUCAAUUACUUUCAAGUGCAAAUCAUACCUAAUUUAAAUGUUGUCUUUUAAUUAUUAGAGGCUUAAAGUUAAUUGUCACAUUAUUGAUAACCUUCAGUUGGCAACCAUCACCAGUCUAGUUCUGAUGGAAAGCAUAUGCAUCUCAUAUCAUAUGAGCUUGUGAGUUUUUUUAGCUGUUUAUAGACUGCAUAUUUCUCCUCUACUUAUCUGUCUUCAUAUAUCAUAUUUAAAGCAAGUGGUUGAAGCCAGAAUUUUUAAUUUUUAAUUUUUAAUUU
rnacentral:misc_RNA from 1 species